AACUGUGUGUAUUGAUUGAUUUCAAAUUUUCAUAAAUUAUGGCUUCUAACUACACAAGCAUCUACUUUCCUUCCCAUGCUUUAUCCAUGGUGACUAAAACUCUAUCUUAUUAUUACAAUCUAAAGUUAGAAAUCAAGUUUUUAUGAAAACUCAGUAAUUGCCAUUCAUUACUUUUUUAUAAUAUUACAUUAUCUUAUAUUCAUAAUUUAUACAUUCAUAUAUUUUCAUGAAAGAAAGCUACUUGCCAGAGCUCAGCGAGAUGUAUCAGAAAAUCGCGGCAAAACUUCAGCAGUAUGGAGAAUGAAGAUCUUUCUGUCAAAGCUAAGUCAAAGUUAGCAUAUCGUUGGGAGGUUUAUCACAACCUAUGUCUCUUAAGGAGAUAGCGAAGACGUGGGAUGUCUGUGCUCGUACAGUUAUUUCAGAGUAUGCAGCAGAGCGGUGGAGGGACUUUCAGCUCUAAGUAUGGCUCUUGGGAGGAUUGCUGGACAUGGUGAUUAUCUGAUUAUUGGGAGGCAUGCGAACUGUUUGUUAUUUAUUUUCAAAUUCUUUUUUGUUAAACUUAUUGUGUAUAAAGUAUAACAACCUUUUUCUUGUUUACCCACAUCACAAGCUGCAAUUGCAAUGUGCUUUGUUGCCUAAGGUGUUCGAUUUAGUAAAUUUACUCAUGACUUGAAUCAGAUUGUUCUUUGUGAAAGCCUUGUUCGUCAUUAAUACAGUAGCUAUAUUGCAACA